CUUCAAUUUUCCCCCUCCGGUAAACAUCAUCACCACCACCAGCAGUCACCAUCCUCUCUCUCUCUCUCUCUCUCUCUCUCUCUCUCUCUCUCCAGAACGCUUCGAACUGAAAAAACCCUCACCGGAAGUGCUCUUUGUUUCUUCUUUGGCGAUGGCAACCGAUCUGUAAAGGAGGGUUUUCUUCGAGCUAGGGUUUGUUGAGGAAGAUGACGAAGGACCUCCCUUCUCGUCGGGCCUCCCUUUCACAUAUCGGAGGUAUCCGAUCUCAACACAUCCAAGGAUUUUCAUUACCACUUGCGUCAACGAUCGAAUCGGAGGAGAAGGCGAAGGGCGGCGAGUGGCGAUAGGGUUUUUGUCAGUGAUUUUUUCCUUCCAGAUCUUGAAACCAACAAGGAACUUCGAAUCUAUAAUGUGAUCUCUUUCGGUCGUAGCUCAACAUCUUUGUCGGAGGAGCGAGGGUUUUAGACGGUGGUUUCAAAGUUGGAUUAUUUGUUGUUUGCAGAUGACCGACAACACAAAACCAUGUCUCUUCGGAUAUCGAUUUGUCUUCCUGAUUGAAGGUUGGUGGUGACGGAGAAUAUGGGGGCUAAAUAUGAAAACCCUAAUUAGAUUAUUCAUGGGAUUUAAACUGUGGUGGUGGUGACUUUUUACAUGUGUAUGUGGUAUAGACAGGCGAUGGUGGUGACAAUUAAAGGAGGCAGCGAAAUGGGUGACACUAAUGGCGUUCAGAUCAGAGGUGUUCUGAUCGGUUAUGGUGGGUUCUCAUAAUCAUUCAUGAGGUGGUGAAGAUUACGGGUGUCAGAAAAUCGAUGUUGGUGGUGUUGAACUGGUGGUAGGUGAUGCAGGUGGUGGUCCGAAAAAUUAGGCUUGAAUUCAUCAAAAUUUUUAUACUCUUUUAUUCUAAGCUCGUGGGGAUGUUAGACGGGUGGUGGUGAUGGUGGUCCAAUGGUAGUUUGGUGGUGUUCCAAUGGUGAUACGGUGACUGCUCCGGGGGUGUUCCUAGAUCUCCGACGACUUGCUCAGGUGAACUAAAGAGAUCAAGUGGAAGAGGGUAUAAGGUGUGGGGUGUUUUUUUGUUAGAAAAAUGACAGUAAUUAAAAAAGGGAAAAUAUCAAAGCCAAAUCCAUUUUUAAAAAAGUUUUGAAAAGUUUGGAACAUGUUAGCAACAAAAUAAAAUUUUUGGACAACUGAUGUUAUUCCAAACCUUUUUGGAUCAAAAUAACAAUUUUUGACAUAUUAUUUUUGCAAUUUGGUAACAAAAUAUUAUGUACAUUACUAGAGAAUCUUUUUACAAACCCCACCACAUACUUAAAACAAUUUAUAGAUGCAUACACUUAACAUUAUUGCAAACACAUGAUAAUGGACAAACUAUAUGUCUUAGAUCACGCACAUAAGUGCUACUUUAUUAGUCAUCUAAACCAACUCUUUUCAAAUAUUGUAAAACUUGUAAAUAAUACUUUUUGUUAAACAAUGUUUUAUUUAUUUAAUCAUCUGUUUAUUAUAUUAACAUAUACAAUAUAAGCCUUUUUUUUAUAUUGUUUUCAUUCAUUUUGGUUCUUUUAUACGUUAUAUUAACUUUAAUUUUGAACUUUAAUUAUUAUUUGAUUAACAAAUAACUAUUGUUUAUUUAAAAUAUAUAUGAUUAUAAACAUAUUACAUUAAAAGAAAUAUAUAUAUAUAUAUAUAUNNNNNNNNNNNNNNNNNNNNNNNNUAUAUAUAUAUAUGGGUAAAUUACACGAAUGGUCCCUAUGGUUUAGGGUAAUCUGCGUGUUUAGUCCCUAACAACUUUUUUAUUUAACUCGGACCGUCCCUAAUUUAUGUUUUUGUUGCACGCUUCGUCCCUGUCCGUUCUAAAAAGACUAUUUUACCCUUAGGCCCCGUUUGAUAGUUGCUGAUUGAGAAAGUGCUGACUGGGAAAAGUCUGUCUUGGUAAGAAGAAAUCAUGACCGAGUAAGAAAUCAUGCUGUUUGAUUGUCUAUCUGACUGAAUGUACUGACUGGUGAAGAAGGACCAUUUUACCCUCCCACUUCAAAUACAAACCACCACCUCAAUAUACUCUGGAAUCACCAAUUCCGGAGUUGUCUUCAAUUCCAACACAUAAUCCAUUUCCGCCUUCGGUCCCUAUUUGAUGCCAUUGCAAUCCCAAUUUCAUCUCAAUUCUUUUCCACUUUCAAUUCAAUCCCUCAACACCCACAACAAAAAGCCAUCAUCUUUCGCUGGAAUCUACAAUUCCAUCCUCCAAACACAAAUCAUCUUUCGCUGGAAUCUACAAUUCCAUCCUCCAAACACUACUAUGGAACAAGAGGCAGGUACAUAACAUCAAAAAAUCGAAAAUUUUAGAGAAGUUUAAAAGGAAUCAAUUUCAUGAAUCAAUAGAAAUCAAUUUCAAAAAUCAGACUAUUCAGAAUAGAAACCUUCCUGAUCAAACAGGAACAUAACAUCAAAAAAUCGAAAAUUUUAGAGAAUUUUAAAAGGAGUCAAUUUCAUGAACCAAUAGAAAUCAAUUUCAAAAAUCCGAUUAUUCAGAACAGAAAGGGUAUAAAGAAAUAUGUGAACAAAAUUAAUUCAUGAAUCAAUUUCUGAAUAGAAAGGUAAACAUGCGAUUGAAGGAGAUGGUUUCAUGAAUCAAUUUAAAAAACGAUUUUCAUGAACAAGAUGGUUUCAUGAAUCGGUUUCACGAAUUCAUGGAUCAAAUUCAAAAACGAUUUCAUGAAAUUGGUUUUAUGAAUCAAUUAAAGAAGAAGAAUAGAGGCCUGUAAGAGGAGAAGACAUACCUGAUGAGAAGGGGAGAAGGAGUCGAUCGGUGGGGGGAAGGGGCGCAGAGGCGUGAAAGAGGAACGUAGGGAAGGACACAAUUGGUAACACUUCCUUCUUUCUCAGUCAGUCGUUGGUUUUCUUCUUACCGAGCCAGAACCUUCUUUCCGAGUCAGAUGGGCCAAGAUUGAUUUACCAAACAAAUUUGGCUGACCGAGUCAGCAAAAAUUGUGUGACCCAGUCCAGUCAGAUGCAUAACAAACAUGCCCUUAAUAACUUAUUUAUUUAUUUAUUACUUAUUCUUUUACCUUUUAAUAUUAAAAAUAUAUUUAAAAAAAUUUUAAAAAAAAAAGUAAAAAGAAUCCCUAAAAUCCUAAGCAACGCCUCCGAGCCUCCAUGGCUCCUCCUACAAAUCUCAUCUUCCAGCAUCACCACUCUCUAACUUCAUCUCUGACGACUCCAAUAACAUCAUACAUGGUUGGUGAGAAAAACCUUCAUCUCCUUUCGUUCUUCACUGGUGGGACUAACUUUUCUCUCUACUCCGCCUCUCUGACCCUCUAUUUCACUUGAAAGAAUACGUCACCUAAAACUCCAAUUGCCUUGCCCACGUUUAUUCCCAAUCUCUCGUCUUCUUCCUUCAAGGUUUUCCCAUAAACUUCUUCCUUCAUGGCCUCCGACCCCCUCUACUAUCAUACGCCAGCAACAUCUAUUGCCAACGCCACCAGAGAAGGCAGAGGUGAAGCAGACACUGAGACAAUACAAAUUUAAGCAUUGGCCUCUUUCUCUGUCUCGGAUUGGGGAGCAUGUUAUCGAACCAGAAGUGAGAUUUAAUGUUUGAUUGCAGUUUCGACACCCAAAACAAUCCUACAACACUGGUUAGGUUUGAUUUAAGGUUUGGUUUUCAAUUUUAGGUUUGAUUGAAUUCUAGGUUUGAAUUAAGUUUCACAUUCAAAUUUCAGUAUGAUUUCAUGUUUGAUUCCAGUUGUAGGUUUGAAUUCAUAUUUGAUUUUGAAUUUUGGGUUUGAUUUGUGUUUCACUUUCGAUUUUAGUUUCAGUUUCAGGUUUGCAUCAUGGAUCAAUUAAAGGUUCAAGUUCAAUUCAUUAUGGUGAUUACAGUAAUACGCUUCACUGUAGUCGGAUAAGAAAGUUGUGGGGGAGGUGGAGGUGGAGCAGGAGCAGACACAGUCAAUGUGUGAGAUUUUCCGGUGACUGAACACAAUGAGGGUAUGGUGGUGUAGGCUCUUGAAUUAUACCGAUAUAUAUAUAUAUAUAUAUAUAUAUAUAUAUAUAUAUAGAUUGANN
rnacentral:lncRNA from 1 species